UACGAAGGGUGCAAACGUUGCUCGGAAUUAUUGGGCGUAAAGCGCACGUAGGCGGCUUUUCAAGUCCCAUGUGAAAGCCCACGGCUUAACCGUGGAAGUGCAUGGGAAAACUGGAAAGCUUGAGUACUUAAGAGGAUCGCGGAAUUCCCGGUGUAGAGGUGAAAUUCGUAGAUAUCGGGAGGAACACCAGUGGCGAAGGCGGCGAUCUGGGAAGAUACUGACGCGUGA
rnacentral:rRNA from 1 species